UUUGCCUUCAUGCAGAACAUAUUUGAUCGUGACCAUGCUGAACUGGCUCCUCCACUUGAGGUGGACAAGGAGUGCUGGUACUUACCUACGUUUGGGGUGUACCAUCCUCAGAAGCCGGGUCAGAUCAGAGUUGUGUUCGACUCAAGUGCAAAGUGCCAUGGCGUCUCUCUCAAUGAUGUUCUCCUCUCUGGACCUGACCUCAAUAAUAGCUUGUUGGGAGUAUUGUUGAGGUUCAGACGUGAAACUGUUGCAGUAACCGCUGACAUUGAACAGAUGUUUCACAGUUUCAUUGUAAGAGAGGACCAUCGAAACUAUUUGCGCUUCCUCUGGCAUGAAGACAACAAUCCUGCCAAUGACAUUUGUGAGUAUCAAAUGAAGGUUCACGUGUUUGGCAACAGUCCCUCACCAUCCGUAGCUAUAUACGGCCUUCGAUGUGCAGCAGCUCAUGGUGAAGAGGAAUUCGGAUCAGAUGCACGACGCUUCGUUGAGAGGGAGUUCUAUGUUGAUGAUGCGCUUAUGUCAAGGCCCACAGCCAGUGAAGCUAUUGAUCUAAUGAAGAGAGCACAGGAAAUGCUUGCCACAUCUAACCUUCGCCUGCAUAAAAUAGCAUCAAACAGCUCUGAGGUUCUUGAUGCGUUUUCUCCAGAUGACCGUGCAAAGGGGCUUAAGGAGCUAAAUCUGGAGACUGAUGUGACACCUACACAGCGAAGUCUUGGUCUGAUAUGGGACCUAAAGAAAGACACCUUUACCUUUCGAGUAGCAGAAACAGUGAAGCCCUUUACAAAGAGAGGUGUCUUAGCUACAAUCAAUGGUCUUUUCGAUCCCUUAGGAUUUGCUUCACCAGUUACAAUCCAGGGAAAGAUGCUGCUGAGAGAACUUUCAAGUGAGGCCCUAGACUGGGACACUCCACUGCCUAGAGAAAGGGAGGCCGAGUGGGAUACAUGGAAAGAAUCUCUUGUUGAUCUCAAGAAUGUACAUAUUCCAAGAACCUACGCUUCUGCUACGAUGUCAACAGCAAUCAGAAAAGAGUUACACAUCUUUUCAGAUGCCUCCACUAAAGCCAUUGCAGCGGUUGCUUUCCUAAAGACCACUGGCGAAAAUCAGAACCAUCAGGUGGGCUUCGUUCUAGGGAAAGCAAAAUUGGCCCCACAAUCUGCUCAUACAAUUCCAAGACUGGAAUUGGGAGCUGCUGUGUUAGCUGCAGAGCUUGCCGAAGUCAUCACAAGUGAACUGGACCUAAAUCUUGAUGCAGUUGAAUUCUACACAGACAGUCGUGUGGUUUUAGGCUAUAUAAGCAACCAGACGAAGAGGUUCUAUGUAUAUGUUGGCAACAGGGUGCAGCGAAUCAGGAGGAUUUCAGAACCAAAACAAUGGCACUAUGUCCCUACGAGCUCUA
rnacentral:lncRNA from 1 species